GCCUUCGUCGUGUAACGGUAGCACACUCGGUGUACAUUCGAGAGGUCCAGGUUCGAGUCCCGGCGAGGGCA
rnacentral:tRNA from 1 species